rnacentral:lncRNA from 1 species
UAGCUGUUUCGCCUAGCUCUCAGGUGCUUUUCUUCUAACUUUUUUAUGUUACUGUUAUUUACCUUUGCAUGUUGAUCUAUGGUGGGGUCUAUUUUUGGGCACUACCUUCUGGCUGAUCGGUUCUAAGUUUUGGUUUUGGGGUGCUUUCUAGCUUUUUUGUGUGAGUGGCCUUAUUCUAGGUUAUAUUUUGUGGGUGGCAGGAUGUUUGCUGUGAGUUGUUCGUAUAUGCAUCUAUUGGAUGUGGUUGCCACCCGGUGUUCGUUGCCAUUCCAUUCGUACUUGAGAGAGAUAAUGGACGAUGGGGUCGUGCUCGGAGGAGUUGAGCUCGAAUUUGAUGUGCCCGGAAGUGAUUCCGGGAGCAUGAGGAGGUUUUUUUGGGCUCAAGAUGGUGUGGAUUUUCUCUCUCUUUACGAGAAGGCUGCUUUCCAGGCCAUUUGCUUCUUACAGAGUUUGUAUGGGUUUGUGAUUCUGGACUAUAAUUUUGAGUGUAUGUCGACUUACAGGGAGCUUGCUCGCUCUGCAGUUCUUUUAGCUGCAACGAUGGUUAGGUCUGCGGUGCCUGUUGGUUGUGCCGAUGCCCUUGUUGCUGUGAUUGACCAUGAUGUCCUUUUGCAGCGGCAGAUGUUGCACGCCAGAUUGGUCUCGACGGCGUGCAAUAUUUAGUUUUUAUUUAUAUUGUGUGAGUUGUUUCUAUUUCUUUUGUUUUCCAUUGCUCCUAAAAUGUACAUUGGAGUUGGCGUGGCUGUAUUCAGAUAAAUGAACUGCUCUUUAGACAUUAUUUGUAUUUGUUAUGUACCUACUUAAUCAUUGUUAUGUUCAUUGUUGCUACUUUUACCACCGUUUCCUAAUUGUCAUGCUGAGAUCAUGCUGGAUUGUACGAAAUGUGUGUAUGCGGCUCUUUAACCAUCAUGUUCUCUGGACUUGGGUUCUGCUUAGGAUGUACUUUUAGGCCUUCAAUGCCUCCUGGCCGUGGACCGAGCCGCGGCCGUGCCGCUGCUGAUGGCCCUGCCCGUGGAAGUGGGCGUGGGCGUGCCGUUGCUGAUGGCCCUGCCCGUGGAAGCGGGCGAGGGCGUGCUGUCACUGAUGGCCCUUCCCGUGGAAGGGGGCGAGGGCGUGCCGCUGUUGGUGGCCCUUCCCGUGGAAGGGGGCGUGGGCGUAGUAGGGUUGGUGGCACACUUCCUUCCCCUCCUAGAAUUCAUCUUGCUCCUCCUGUCAUUCGGCCACGUUAUGUGCCCCAUGCCCCACCUGGGAUCGAGAAUCGCAAACAUAAACGUGAGUUAGAGCUACCUGAUCCUGCUUAGUAAUACAGACCCUUGGCCUUGUGAUAGCAUCUGAUGUUGUUCUUCUUGUGUUCCCUGACCAAUGUUUAGGAGAUGGUUGGUUACCCUAUGUGAGUGAGGUUGAGGCGGCGUUGAACCGCAGGAAGCGCAAGGCAAUUAGAAAGCUGCGCCAUUCUGGAUUUGAAGGUCCAUUCGUUUUCCAAUUGCUUAGCUCAGUCUUAGACCCACCUGGACUUGUUAGUUUUGUCUGUCAUGCUAGACCAUAUUGUUAUGGGCCCUUUGCCGAAAGACUGGCGUGGUUUCGAUCAUGCAUUUGCUGAGCCGCUUAAAGGUAUCAUUGUCCUCGGAUUUGUUUGUUUGUUGCCUUGUGAUUUGCCUGUGCUUUUAUAAUUGGUGUUUGUUUUUCGUUGGGGCUAUUAGCUUCAUAUGCAGAUGUAUCGUACCUUGGUACACCAGAUUAUAUCUAUGGAUAUUGUGGUGCUUCUUUCUGGUACGAGGAGAGGGUACAGGGAAAAUCAUCAUAUACAAAACGUAAGAUUGUCUACAAUCUUUGUUGCAAAGGUGGUCAGGUUUCUAUCCCUCCUUUCAAGGAGCCCCCGCCAUUUCUCCGGGAGCUUCUCCAUUUUGAUGGAACUUCUCGUGCCAAGAAAUUCCUCCGAAAUAUACAUCAAUACAACUGUAUGUUCGCCUUCACCUCGAUGGGUGCUACUAUUGAUCGUUCGCUGAAUGCUUCUCGGGGUCCCAAGGUCUUUAAAAUUAGUGGCCAGGUGUCUCAUCGCAUAGGUUCUCUCUAGCCAAAAGACCCUAACACUCCUAAAUUUGCCGAGCUUUAUAUAUAUGAUCCAGCAAAUGAGGUUGCCCAUAGGAUGCGUGCUUUAAAUCCGGAUGAUAACCCUGUGGACCAAAUAGAUGAGGAUAUAGUGGUUGGCCUGAGAGAUAUGCUUAAUGAGUUCAAUCCAUUGGUACAGAAAUUUAGAGAGGCAAGUAAAAUCAUAGAAGAUAGUGGCGAUGAGCCUAUCGAAGAAAUUUCCAUACGAAUCAUUGGUCCUUCCGAUGGUGAUGGCCCACAGUUCAGUUUGCCCACGUCUGCGAGGCUUGCUGCUUUGAUUGUGGGUGACCUUACUGUUGAAACCUCUGCACGCGAUAUAAUUAUUUCCAGCCAUUCGGAAGGCAUGCAACAAAUCGCUUCUCUUAAACCUGCCUUUAUGCCUUUGCAGUAUCCCUUGCUUUUUCCGCGUGGGGAAAUGGGGUUUCAGAUAGAUGUUCCUUAUAUGUCUGUUCAGCUAGCUGAUGAUAUCGAUGUGCCUGGUAGUACUGGGAAUGUUGGUACGUCUCCUGGUUCAUUGCCAGUUGCCGCUCGUGGUAGUGCACCUACUAAAAAUACACGUAGAAAGAUGACCAUGCAGGAUUACUAUCGUUAUGUAUGCCAUUAUAGAGGUGACCAGCCAAACCCAUUCUUGUGUUAUGGUCUUUUGUCGUCCCAGGCUGUUGUUGAUGCACGAGCUUGCAUUGACGAAAACAGACUAUGGUACAUACUGAGAAACCAAGAUAAACUUAGAUCUGAGCAUAUGCAGGGCAUCACCGAUGCCGUUGGUGGUGGUUGUGUUGAUGGUGCGACUCUAGGUAAAAGGAUUAUCCUGCCUUCGAGCCACACCGGUGGUCAUCGUUACUUUCAGGAGAACUUUCAAGAUGGCCUUGCCAUAUGCCGGGUGCACGGUGCACCUGACAUAUUCACCACUUUCACCUGCAACCCCAAGUGGCCAGAAAUUACACAGACGCUAGAACCAGGACAAAAACCACAUGACAGGGAAGAUAUUGUUAUCAGGGUUAACCACAUGAAGUUGAUUGAGUAUCUCCAUGAUAUUACGUCCGGAAGAGCCUUUGGAAAAGUAAAGGCUGGUACUACAUUUUGCUGUUCUUAUCACCUCUGUUGUGCCCACUAUCUAUUUGUAUGAUAUCUGCUAUGUGUUGAUGCUAAAUUAUUUAAUCCCUUUUGUGUAUUUUGCAGUGCUUUAUACUGUUGAGCACCAGAAGCGGGGACUACCUCAUGCUCACAUACUCAUCUGGCGGAAGGGAGAACAAGGUAUGAUAGGACCUGAUGGCAUAGAUGCAUUUAUUUCUGCUGAGAUACCAGAUCCAUUGGGGGACCCUCUAGGCUAUGCCUUAGUCUCUGAAUUCAUGAUGCACGGUCCGUGUGGUAAAAUGAACGAUAAAUGUGUUUGCAUGAAGAAAGGGUGUUGUUCUAAAUUUUUUCCUAAGGAAUUUAGGGACGAAACAGUCAUAGAUGAAGACGGGUUUGCGUUAUAUCGACGUCGUGACGAAGGUCGUACAAUUUAUAGAUGGGCACUAUCUUGAUAACAGGUGGGUGGUUCCUUAUAAUAUGGCUGUGCUUAAGCGUUUCCAGGGUCAUAUUAAUGUUGAGUGGUGUAACAAAACCCAGGUCAUGAAGUAUUUGUUUAAGUAUGUGACUAAAGGCGCCGAUUACUCGAAAGUCCUAUUAGAGAAGUCAAAGGGUAAGGGUAAAAUUGAUGGGAUAGAAGAUGGAGGGCCGAUGGAUGAGGUCAAAGAGUAUUUACGAUGUCGGUUCAUAUGUGAAUAUGAUGGAUUGUGGCGUAUAUUUGGGUACGCCAUACACUGUAGGUUUCCUUCAGUAGAGAGGCUCCCUAUUCACCUUCCUGGAAUGAAUAUUAUUCGCUUUCGUUCCGAAACAAACCUUAAGAAAAUUGUUGAUUCAGACUUCUUGAAAAAAAAACCAUGCUCACUGAAUGGUUUGUUGCAAAUGCUUUGUAUGAACAUGCUCGAUCUUUAACGUAUUGUGAUUUCCCAACUGAAUGGACAUGGGAUUCCGAAACGAGAUCAUGGCAUGAGAGAGAAGGUUGUAAAAAUAUUGGUCGUGUCUACUAUGUCUAUCCUUCUGUUGGUGAACUGUAUUACCUGCGAAUGCUUCUAAUGAUUGUUAAGGGUUGUAGAUCUUGUGUUGACCUUAGGACCUAUGAAGGGCGUGUUUAUCCUACCUUUAGAGAGGCGUGUGCUGCUCGGGGUUUAUUAGGCGAUGAUAAUGAAUGGUACAUUGCAUUUGAUGAAGCGAUGGUUUGGGGUUUUGGGCACCGGCUUAGGCAUUUGUUUGUGACCAUGCUUAUUCAUUGUACUGUUAAGGAUGAAAUAAACUUCUUUGAACGAUAUUGGGAGAGUAUGGCUGAUGACAUCAAACAUGGGCUAAGAUCCGCUUUAAAUAACAAAUCUUAUGAUCCUCCUGUGUCAAGACUUAGAGACAUACUUCUCGAUGAAUUAGCUGAGCUAUUUGUGAAACGUGGUUCUAACAUAAGUAAAUUUAAUUUGCCACCACGGAUCAGCGACACUGGAUUAUUUAUUGAAAAUCGAUUAAUCCAUGAGGAGUUAUCUUAUGAUGCACCUGCUUUAGCUAAAGAAGCGGUAGUCUUGCUUCAGAACCUGAAUGUUAAUCAAAUUGUUGCUUACAAGGCGAUAUUACAAUGUCUUCAGGCCAAGGAGCCAGGAUUCUUUUUUGUUUCUCGGUAUGGGGGUACCGGGAAAACCUACCUAUGGAAUGCUAUUUGUGCUUUCUUACGGGGUAAAAGGGAGAUAGUUUUAACUGUUGCAUCUUCUGGUAUUGCGUCGCUCUUAUUGCCAGGUGGGAGGACUGCUCAUUCCCGUUUUAAAAUGCCGAUCGAUAAUGAUGAUGAAAUGGUAUGUGAUAUAAAGAGAGGCUCACGCCUGCAUAAACUGUUGGUGACCUCCUUGAUAAUCUGGGAUGAAGCGCUUAUGUCGAAUAGAAGGUGUUUUGAGGCUUUAGAUAGGACCUUGCGUGACGUCCUUUCUACAGAUGACCCUUUACUCUCUGAUGUCCCGUUUGGUGGGAUGGUUGUGGUAUUAGGUGGGGAUCUUAGACAAAUUCUUCUUGUUAUUGAGGGUGGUACCAGGCCUCAGAUAGUUGACGCAACAAUUACCAAUUCUCCGUUGUGGAGAUUUGUCAAAGUGUUGUCCCUUACUGUUAACAUGCGUUUGGCUAUGCCAGAUGCAGAUCCCAGUGUGCAAGAAAGUGUUGCACUAUUUAGUAAAUGGGUCCUCGAUCUUGGAGAGGGUAGAUUACCUACCACGCAUAAAGGGGAUGAAUCUGACCCUUCUUGGAUAGAAAUACAUGAUGAUCUGUUGGUUAAAACAUACGGUGAUCACAUAGGGGCCAUUGUUUCUUCUAUUUACAAUGACUUUGAGUCUAACUAUAUGAAUGCCGCCUAUCUGCAAGGAAGGGCUAUUCUGUCGACUACUAAUGAUUUUGCCGAGGAGAUCAAUACUCAUGUGAUGGUCUUAGUUCCUUCUGUUGGCAAAGAUUACCUGAGUGCCGAUUCUGUAGAUACCUCAGGAGAGGCCGUGCAAGAGGAAAACCUUUUCUACCCUACUGAGUACUUGAAUUCUGUUAAGAUUAUUAAUUUUCCAAAUGAUAGGUUGACUCUUAAAAGGGGUGUUCCUAUCAUGCUUCUCAGAAACCUGAGUCAGGCAAAUGGUCUGUGUAACGGCACGAGACUUAUUGUGAAGGACCUAGCUGAUCGUGUCAUUGAGGCUGUUAUUAUGACUGGUUCGUACGUGGGUGAUAUUGUCUAUAUCCCCCGGAUAGAAUUGACGGCAAAACAAACAAAAUCAUCCUUUGUGCUUCGACGUAGGCAGUUCCCUGUACGUGUGUGCUAUGCUAUGACAAUAAACAAGAGCCAAGGACAAACUUUGUCUGCUAUUGGUCUCUAUCUUAAGAAACCUGUCUUCACGCACGGCCAGUUGUAUGUGGCAGUUUCCCGUGUUACUUCGAGGAAUUCUUUGAAAAUCCUUAUAGAGUGCGAGGAUGGUACAUGUGGCUCCGAGACUAAAAAUGUGGUCUUCCCAGAGAUAUUGCGAUCUGCUGGGAUCCUUCCAUGAUCUGGAUAGGUGAUUCUUAACUAUGUACAGCGGCUGUUUUUGGAGAUACCCAUUGGGUUAGCUAUAUAUAAGUUCGAUGUGUUCUUUGAUCUUUUGUUCAUGCAUGUGGUUGGUGUGGCUGGUCUUUUGUUCGUGUCUACGCCUAUUAUGCUUGGUGUUGUGAAUCUGUUGGAUGAAUCUUUUGUCUCUGUGACUCCUGUAACAAAUUGCCACCUUUGCCUGUGUUACUGGUUUUAGUACUAUUCCUUUGGCCACAAAUGCUAUACUUUUGUUGUUGUGAUUAUGUUACAGAUGGCGAUCGUUGCUUUAGAUGAGCUUGUACAAGGAAAUAGCAACGAUUCAGUCUGUGUGUAUGUCUCACGACUAUGGAACCAUCGUGGAGGCACUGACACUGGUCCGAUCAAGCACACUGACANNNNNNNNNNNNNNNNNNNNNNNNNNNNNNNNNNNNNNNNNNNNNNNNNNNNNNNNNNNNNNNNNNNNNNNNNNNNNNNNNNNNNNNNNNNNNNNNNNNNGGUUCUUAUGGAUGCCGUGGUACUUGCUUUCAUCUUGAAUUAUGUGUUCCAUGUUAGUUUUGGGUGUUGGCUGAGACUUAUUGUACUCAUAAUUGUUCUGUCUUUGCAGGGCAACCACAUGUAUGCUGAGAUUUCUGAGAAACUGGUUCCUACAUUUGCGCCAGGAUUCGUGAAGGCCGUGCUUAUGUGAUUUCUCAGUUCUUGGUGUUUCCAAACAAACGUUAUUUCAAGCCUGUCGCUGGACCACAUAUGAUCAGAUUCAACCGUUUGACCACAACCGACCCUCCAGCUGAUGAAGAGAUUGAAUUCCCAUUCUGUACUUACUCACUCACUGCUUUGGCUCAUCUUCCUGCGCCGGUUGAGAACCCUGACUAUUUCACAGGUGUGUUUAUUGCCUUCUUAUUUUUGCAGCUUCUUUGUCUAUGCUUUUAACUGUCCUCCCUCUGAUUAUGUAGACAUCCUAGGACUUAUUGUCGGUGUGUCUGAUGCCAUGGUAUACCACAGCUCUAACAGAGCUGAUCCUUCUGUAAAGCGAACUAUCACUCUCGCUGACCCGAGGUUUGUUGCUCACUAUUUACCUUGUGUUCUGGACAUUGCUAGAUUUCAUAUCAAUUCUCUUCUUUUGUGUGUGUAGUGGAUAUCAGAUCAAUGUCGUACUGUGGGGAGAGCAGGCAAAGGCCUUUGAUGGAGAUGAUGUCAUGCAGAUAGGCCAAACUGGACCAGUCAUUGCUCUAAUUGUUGGGACCCUGGUUAAAAACUAUGAAGGUUAGUCCUAGAUAAGGUGAAGCCUAUUUUAUUAUCUGGCGCUUUCUAUUUGACUUGGUGUUUUUCUUGAAUGUUUUGUAGGACGCAGGGGGGUUAGUGGUAGCGCAGCAUGCCGAUGGUACAUUAAUGAUGAUAUCUCUGACAUCACCCAAUUUCAUGAAAGGUGCUACGAUUGUACUGGGCUGUUUGUUGCUUUCUAUUUUGUCCAUAUGCUAUUUUGACUCUACACUUAUUUCUUCUUCUCCGAUUUGUGUAGCCUCCAAGGAAAGUUCUCUCCUGUAACGAAAAUUAUUCUUCCUGGUCAAACCGCAGAUGAGAAAAGUGCACAGGUCAAUCUACAAACUAAAGCAGUUGGUCAACUUCUCGACUUGAAGGACCAUCUUACGUUUGUUUGUGUGUGGCAGUGUGGGAUUUUUAGCUAUGAUAUAUUCUGAUAUUGUGGUACGUCGUUUCUUUGCAGAGCACACGUUUCUUCUGCUCGGUCACUCUGUCCAGGCUCAGUCCUGGUCAGCGUUGGUGGUUCAUGUCUUGUGAGAAGUGCCAUAAAACAGCACAGCGACAUGGCUCUGUCUACAGGUGCAUUGACCCCACAUGUGCCUCCACCGACGCAAUGCCAAGGCAUUAUUAUUCAUCAUGCACAUUUUUCUUCUCUUUUUCCCUGUAAAAUAAUGUGUCAUUUCAUAUAGAUAUCGCAUAUGCUUCAGAUGCACUGACGAUUCAAGGGAGGCCGAGUUUAUUUUCUUCGACAGGGUUGGAAAAGAGAUUGUUGCUAAAUCUUUGAUCACUUUGCUACGUGAAGGGUAUUCCAAUCGUACAACCCUUGAAGAGAUUGUUGAAAUAGCACGUGGAGACCCAGGCAUCCCUAAAGACAUAUCCACUUUGAUUGGCAAGAAGUACAGAUUUGUGGUGUCUAUCUCUUCAAAGAGCUUUAUGCCUGAUGCCGAGGAGACAUCCUUCCAAGUUAUCAGCAUAGAUGUGCCUGUGGAAAAGACCUCGAGCUCUGCGGUUUUAUAUCGCAAGGCAGAUUCCUCUGGACCUUCUACUGGUGAUGUGGGGUGUCCUGGUUCUGGUGAUGUAUCACCCUUAGUGUUGCCCGUUGGAAGCUUCUCAACUGAUACUGGUGCCUUUUCUCUUCCUGCAUUACCUGUUGGAUCUGUCCCGGUCUUGCUCAUCUCCGGUGAUCUGUUUGCAAAGGUAUGAUUUUGUGUGUUGUAUCUUGCAUGUAAGUUGUUGCUAUUUUCGGUUGUGCAGUUAUUCUUAUCAGCUCUAACCGAUAUGUUGUUUAGGUUGCUGUUGCUCUUGGCUCUCAAUCGACCCUUGCUUCCCCGCCGUCCGUCAAUAAAAGGUGGCUUAAUGGGUUGUCCUGUCAAUAAAGUACUCCAUGUGAAAUACAUGUGUGUGGCUACAUAAGCAAGCAUGAUAAUUGUGAGUUACCAUACAAUUGUGUCAAAGUACUAGCAUUCAUAUGUACUCAUGUUUGGUCUGUGAUUGGUUGGCAAGAUACCUAAAGUACUUAAUUUCAAUUUAUUCUUUGGUUUUUAUUUUGACAACUGGCGUAUUGCACUCACUCUAUACAUAUCCUUUGAGAUCGGCUGAUUGAUAGUUCAUAGUUCUAAUGUACCUCGGACCAGGCUCGAGGUUAAUGCAUGUCUUCUGAUGGCGUCCAUCUUACAAAAAGCAUACAAGUAUCUAGCCGAGUCUAAAAAAUCGCAGUCGACAUGCCUCUUGUGUGUCCUAUAACUUCUAAAACAACAUCAACAUAUUAACAUUGAAUAAAUAUUUAGCUAAGGAUACAAGUUAUGAAUAGCUAAGGAAUACAAGUUUUAUGAAUAAAAGAUUGUUGCAUCAAAGAGCAUUAGCACCUCCUUGUCAUUGUCCUUGGUCGCCUUCGGGUAGACCAUAUGUAUAUUAAGAUGCCUUUCAAUUUGUAGUCCUUGUCUGUCUUAGCCGACUUCUGGUGCUUAUCUUGAGACAACAUUUCUACAUUUUUGUUGUACUCGGUAUGGUUUCGGUGGAAAGAGAUGACCUAGAUACAAUAAUAAUUAGAUCUAACAAUCAAACCAAUUCUUGAUUGAGAGCUGUGUCAAUGUCUAGGUCAUUGUUAUUGACUGAAGAUUGUUCAUUUCGUUGUCUACAGCGGCGGUGGCUUGAAGAAAGGCCUUUCUAAAACCGAACUAACGAAUGCUGACGUUCGCAAGCCUUUGUUCCCAGUUGACAAAUCUAAGGUAUUCCUUCCAUCUUUUGCAAGCAUUGGAUCAAUAUCAGUAACAUGUUUAUCUAAUUGAGUUGCGUGUUCUUUGGGCUUCUAGGAAAAUGCAACGCUGGGCGAUGGUCCUGCUGUCCUAGGUGAAGAGGUGGACGGUACUACAAGGUAUAUACUUCUAAUUGCCUCCAGAGCUUCCUGUUUUGAUCCAUCGCUGACGAGUAGGUGGGUCUGACUUUUCCCCCUCUCUGUUGUGAACUAAGCGAGGUGCCAUUGGCUGUUGAGGGCACCACCAUUCAAAAAAACAAAAACUCAAGGAGGGCCUGAGACCGAAGAGGUCAGGUGUUGUUGAGUGCUCGCCCUUUUGGUACGCCCGUUUUAUCUUCUCCUUGCUUCAAUGACUACUGUGAUGAGCAUUCAGUUGAUCCGUGGUUGGUUAUGUGUAUCCAGGACCUUAUCCUUUUGUUUGUGGAUGCGUGAAGAAAUGAUGAAAAUGCUUGAUGAAUCAACCACAAGAGGAGGAUGAAGCGCUUUUGGUUUAUCGCUGGGCUUUCUAAGUUGGUGCAAAUUUGCAUUGCCCUUAUUGUACAUUAUGUCUGCUCUACCUCAACCAUAUCAGGCAGUAAAUGUGACUGCAUCUGACUGAUACCCCUUGCCUAUUGUAGUCUAAGUAUGUGUGUAUCCUACCUCUAUGCUAUCAGUCAGGACAUGUCUGUAUAAGACUUGAGCUCAACUAUUAGUGUAUGCUAAGCCAUCUGCUAGCAACUGAACUAAAGAACCGUCAAUGUAAUAUCAUCAUGUGUGUACUUAAACAUGAUCGAUCAUGCACAUGUGACCUCUUAUGUAUUGAUCAUAUGUUAUCGAUUACUUCUGUUUAUGAUCGUUUGGUAAUGAUAGUUAAUGACGGUUAUACUAUGAUCUCAUUUGAUGUUCUGCAUUUAAUCACUUCCUACCUAGUUAUAGGAAAAUGGUAGUGUAAAAUGGGCUUUGGGUAUUUUCAAGGUAUAUUUUAGAGUGCAAUAAUUUAUUUGGUGGUUUCAUCCCUCUAUUUGAUGGGACUAUAGACUGUCAGCCUUUGUUUUUAUGGACUAGUAGCCAAAGUUUGACUUUCAAAAAUGUAGACACCGUAGUGCAUCUACAACCAGGCGCCCCAAACCCGUCUCAAACAGUUGGACGAGCGUACCGAUCACUGACCGAUCAUAAAAGAUCGACCUACCCGGGCACUUCAAACCGGCCUCAAACGCCCGGGCUGUCCGGCGCCCCUCAUAUGCACCCCAAAUGUUGGGCGGAUAUGGGGCAGCCUGGGUACGCCCGGGCGCGUCCGCCAUGUCGGAGCUGGCAGGCCCAGCCCACCACCGACCCCACGGCCAUCCCACAAAAAACCCCAAUCCGACUCCUCGCUCAGAACCCUAUCUCACUCACUCUCCUCUCCCCUCUCCGAUUCCGAUCCAAUCUAGCGCAAUUCAAGCUCCAGCAGUCACUCCGGCUCCGACGUCGACCUUGACGAGGAGUUUGCCCUCCGCAUUGCAUUGAAGGUGUCGCGGGCGUUUGAUGUGCCGAAUUUGCAAAGUCCGGCUGUAGAGGCUCUUACAUCCUGGAACUGAGUGAGUAUGGCAUAGCUCUUACAACAAGUGGUGAAAAUUGACAUUUGGUAAUCUGCUAACCAAAGACCAAUUUCAUAUCCUGGGUCUGACAUUGCCUACUAAUAGAACAUCAUUUAUAUUGGUUGAAGAAAAUCCAUGUUAGGUGGUUGACCUUGCACCUAGAAGUAGAGGCCUGAGGUUUUAACCCCUUCUCCAAAAAAUGUUGGUCGCAGCCAGAGACCACCUCUACAGACUAAAGUGAACGCCCCAUCUGGAUCCAAUACAUGGCUAUGUGGAUAUAGAUGCCGGCAAUGAAAAAUUAAAGCCACAUACACCGUUUGCUAGAAAAGGUGACCAAAAGGACAUGCGAGAAAUAAGGAUGACCAAGGAAGGCGGCCAGGAGGUCCCUUUUACCAUGGGAGCCAUCAAAUGUCUAUUAGUGGUAAGCUAUCACCCGACUAAUUGUUUUCAUUCACUAACUAGUAAAUUUUAAUUUUCUAAAUUUGCAUGAUUUGCAGGACCUGUUUAGUGCUGGGAGCGAGACGUCGGCGACGACUCUCAUCUGGGCCAUGUCGGAGUUGAUGAGGAACCCAGCCACCAUGGCAAAAGCACAAGACGAAGUACGUAACAACCUACAAGGGAAGCCAAGCGUAACCGAGGACGACCUGGCUGACCUCAAAUACAUGAGGCUGGUCAUCAAGGAGACGCUUAGGCUGCAUCCGUCGGUGCCCCUGCUGCUGCCACGUGAGCCCACCGAGGCGUGCAAGGUCCUCGGCUACGACGUGCCGACCGGCACCACCGUGUUUGUGAACACGUGGGCAAUCUGCCGAGACCCCAAGCACUGGAAUGCCCCGGAGGAGUUUAGGCUGGAGCGGUUCGAGUCCGGCAAAGUAGACUUCAAGGGAACCAACUUUGAAUACACACCGUUUGGGGCAGGCCGGAGGAUAUGUCCGGGGAUGCUGUUCGCACAGUCUAGCAUGGAGCUGGCCCUUGCCGCCCUCCUCUACCACUUUGACUGGGAGCUUCCUACCGGAGGGGAGUUGGACAUGGAGGAGGAGAUGGGCAUCGCCGUCGGUCGGAAGAAUGACCUAUACCUGCAUGCUGAAGUCUGUGUGCCUCUUAAUUAGCGCCUGCUUAAGAUGUCGCAUAGUGGAUGUGAUCGAUUAGGUUGGCUAGAUCGAACAUUCCAGCUGCAUAUUGCACACAAAUUCCUUGAACAUUUUGUUACCAGGGUGUCAUGGUGGUAAUUAUAGUAAUUAUUGUAUUGUACUGUUUUCAUGAUUUAUUAAAAAAUCAAUAAUAUUUUUGUAUUGAUUAUCAAAUAUGUGGUUUCCCAUCACCAAUCUGAUUUUCUUUGUUUGAUAUUAUGAGCUCAAGCUAAAUUUUCAAAGAUCUACUCCUUGUGUAAAUUCCUUUCUAGUACUUUCGGCCACGUCACCACCCUACCGAGGGUACCGUCAACCACUGCAUUGGAGAAUCUUCAAACGAACAACAAUGGAAAUACCAUCUUCAAGAACUAUGGGCACCAGCCAACAACUGACUAAGAAUGUGUACUUAGUGUCACCAAGACGUCUACGAAGGACUCUUCAACAUGGGAUCUUCUUCCAUGUUUGGCUAAGUCAACAAGCCGCAUGAGUGUACCGAAUGUCACAAGCAAAAUCAAGGAGGAUAAAAAUUGGCAGGCCUCUAGCUACUGUAAAAAACGAGUGGUUUGGGCUUUCGGAGAUCUAAUUUUCAAUUGCAAUAAUCCCAGUAGUUUGCAAACAGUUUUGAAAAGUCUUUUCCGUACCCAAUACAUAUGUACUCUCGACAUUCACAAAUGAAUAGUAGAAUGACCAUAGAUUAAAAUAUACCCUUAAAAAGUAGGAGAGAGAAAAAAACAAAAAUGACAUUUAUGUAAUAUCAAACUCUCUCUGUCUCUGUCUCUCAUGCAUUAUAGGAAAAUGGUAGUGUAAAAUGGGCUUUGGGUAUUUUCAAGGAUAUAUUUUAGAAUGCAAUAAUUUAUUUGGUGGUGUCGUCCCUCCAUUUGACGGGACUAUAGACUCUCAGCCUUUGUUUUUAUGGACUAGCUAGUAGCCAAAGUUUGACUUUCAAAAAUUUAGACACCGUAGUGCAUCUACAGCCAUGCGCCCCAAACACGUCUCAAACACCCAGACGGGCGGACCGAUCACUGACUGGUCAUAAAAAACCGACCCACCCGGGCGCAUCAAACGCCAGGGCUGUCCGGCGCCCCUCAUAUCCUGCCAAAUGUAGGGCGGAUAUUGGACGGCCCGAGUAUGCCCGGGCGCGUCCGCCAUGUCGGAGCUGGCAGGCCUGGCCACCACCAACCCCGCGGCUAUCCCACAAAAAACCCCAAUCCAACUCCUCGCUCGGAACCCUAGCUCACUCACUCUCCUCUCCCCUCUCCGAUUCCGAUUCAAUCCGGUGCAAUUCGAGCUCCAGCAAUCACUCUGGCUCCGACGUCAACCUUGACAAGGAGUUGGCCCUCCGCAUUGCCUUCAAGGUGUCACGGGCGUUUGAGGUGCCGAAUUUGCCAAUUCCGGCUGUAGAAGCUCUUACAUCCUGGAACGUGGUGAAGAUUGACAUUUGGCAAUCUACUAACCAAAGACCAUUUUCAUAUCCUGGGUCUGACAUUGUCUACUGAUAGAACAUCAUUUAUACUGGUUGAAGAAAACCCAUGUUAGGUGGUUGAGCUCGCACCCAGAAGCAGAGGCCUGAGGUUUUAACCCCUUCUCCAAAAAAUGUUGGUCACACCCAGAGACCACCUCUACAGACUAAAGUGAACUCCCCAUCUGGAUCCAAUACAUGGCUAUGUGGAUAUAGAUGUCGGCGGUGGAAAAUUAAAAUAUAGAUGUCGGCGAUGAAAAAUUAAAGCCACAUACACCGUUUUCUAGAAAACAUGACCAAAAGAACAUGCGAGAAAUAAGUGUUGGGUCAUCUCAUCCUCAUCACGACAACAAUAUUUGUCAAGUUUUUAAUACACAUACGUACAUUGCAAGGACGGUCGACGGAGCAUGUGGAUUGGGCAUGUAUGUAGUAUUAUUGAGUUCUAAACAGGAUAAUAUGGCCUUGUCCAGUUUUCACAAGCAGAUAACAGUCAGUGACAAAAAGAACAUGUGAGAAGUAAGUGUUGGAUCGAAAAAACAAAAGGCAUUCUGGGGUAUAAUCUGACUAUUGUACUCGGUUUACACAUGUAAGUUGAGCAUAGAACUCAUCUUACAAGACAUGUGUCAGCCCCUGUGAGCUCCUAUGACCAAAUGGCACUGCCAAUACAGGUUUAAACCGAGAGCAAGGCACACACCUUACAUAUAAGGCGUGAGCAGAUUAAUGUUCUCGGCUUACAUAUACAACUUGAACAGAAAGAAACACGAGCUCGGUUUACACAUGUAAGCCGAGCAUAGACCGCGUCUCACAAGACACGUGUAAGCUCCUUGGAACUCCUAGGACGAAAUGACAUUGCCAGUACAGAUUUAAGCCGAGAGCAAGGUACAUGGCUUACAUAUAAGCCAUGACUAGAUUAAUGUUCUCGGCUUACAUAUACGCCUUGCACAGAGAGAAAUACGGUCACAGCUUAUUCCUGGGCACUGGCACCAUGUGAUUACUCCAUGUAGGAAAAUUAAGCCGAGAGUGACACUCGGCUUACAGAGGGCCCACGUGGUGCCUUUAGGUUGCUAGGAGCCAGGGUUUUUCUUUUAGAGAGGGGUCAAUGCCUAGUUCAUAGUACUAAGACUACUCAUAGGGGGGUUUAACAUAUGUGUGGUGUCAUGCAACAUUUCAUAUAAGUUAUAUGUAUAACUCAUCUUAUCAGUAUGUGUGAUGUUACUUAUAGUGUGAGUAACAUACUAUAUUAUCACAUGCAUCUCUUUCCUCAUUAAUUAUUUACCAUAUCAUCUAUUUUGCCUGCAUAUAUAUGAUGUUACCACCUACCUCUGUUCUGGUUUAUUGGUUUUAACUAAUAAAGUAUUAAUGCAUGUCAUCAAAAAUUUAUAGCGUUGUAUUUGUAUUUAAACAUAGAUUACAACAAUAUUAUUUUUCGUGACAAGCAUUAACAUUUUGUUAGUUAUAAGUAAAAUCAAAAUUUAGUAUAAAAUACAAAGGGAUCAAUAAAUCAGGAUGGAGGUAGCAUGCUACUUCCACUAUGGGUAGUCUAAAAAGACCUAUUGUUCGGUUUUUUCACUACGUAGUGUGUGGAUGAAGAACAAAGCGCGAUCGUGCACCCAUCACGAUCGUCUAGGGAAUCUCCGCUCCCUAGUAGAAGUAGUACGUAUCCUUGGCGCAUCGGAGACGACGACGAGACGGGCGGUUCGUUCCGGACGACAACCAAACUUGCCCUGCAAAUAUCUGGUCGUCUCGCUCGCAUAGCGAUCCACGCCAGUUUACAGUAGAACAUCCUAGCGUACUCGAUAUAUUUAGUCUGUGCCGCAUGCGUAUAUACAGUGCAGUUUAUCCCCAGCCUUCUCUCGAGUGAGCUCAAGAAAAUAACAGGCGCCAUGACCACGGAGCAAGCAAUUUAUCUCGUCUUGGCUCUCCUCCUGCCUCUCCUGCUCCUCAAGUUCAUCAGGAAGCGCGGCCACGGCGCUGGGCAGCAGCUGCCGCCUGGCCCUUGGCGGCUACCGGUCAUCGGCAGCCUGCACCACAUCACCGGCAACCCACUAGUCCACCGUGCCUUCGCGGACAUCGCGCGCCGGCUGGGCGACGCGCCGCUAGUAUACCUCAAGCUCGGCGAGGUGCCGGUGGUGGUGGCCUCUUCUACCGAGGCCGCGCGCGAGGUCAUGAAGACGCAGGACGUCACGUUUGCGACGCGGCCGUGGAGCCCCACCACCAAGAUCAUCAUGUCCGAUGGGGUCGGGCUGGCGUUCGCGCCCUACGGCGCUCACUGGCGCCAGCUCCGCAAGAUCUGCAUCAUGGAGCUGCUCAGCGCCCGCCGGGUGCAGUCGUUCCGCAACGUCUGGGAGGAGGAGGUGACGCGCCUCGUCGCCGUCAUUUCAGCUAGUACCGGCGAGCCCAUCAACGUCAGCAAGCGGCUCGCCAUGCUCAUCGCAGACAUGACCUUGCGCGCCAUGAUCGGGGACAGGUUCAGCAAGCGGGAAGAAUUCCUGGAGGUGCUCCAACAGGGGGUCAAGAUCCUUUCGGGGUUUAACCUCGGCGACCUCUUCCCCUCAUCCUGGCUCGUCGGCUUCGUUAGCGGCUCCGCCCGACAGGCGUGGGAGAAUCACACCAAGGCCUUCGAGCUCAUCGACUGCGCCAUCAAGCAGCACGAGGAGGUGAAGGCCGCCGCCGCCGCGUCCAACGGCGGCGGGAAGGAAGGGGAGCAGGAGGACCUAUUGGACGUGCUCCUCAGGAUACAGAAGGAAGGCGGCCACGACGUCCCUUUCACCAUGGGAGCCAUCAAGUGUCUAUUAGUGGUAAGCUACCACCCGGCUAAUUGUUUUCAUUCACUAACUAGUAAAUUUUAAUUUUCUAAAUUUGCAUGAUUUGCAGGACCUGUUUAGUGCUGGGAGCGAGACGUCGGCGACGACUCUCAUCUGGGCCAUGUCAGAGUUGAUGAGGAACCCAACCACCAUGGCAAAAGCACAAGCCGAAGUACGUAACCACCUACAAGGAAAGCCAAGCGUAACUGAGGACGACCUGGCUGACCUCAAGUACAUGAGGCUGGUCAUCAAGGAGACGCUCAGGCUGCAUCCGUCGGUGCCCCUACUGCUGCCGCGCGAGCCCACCGAGGCGUGCAAGGUCCUCGGCUACGACAUGCCGACGGGCACCACCGUGUUUGUGAACACGUGGGCGAUCUGCCGAGACCCCAAGCACUGGGAUGCCCCAGAGGAGUUCAGGCCGGAGCGGUUCGAGUCGGGCGAAGUGGACUUCAAGGGAACCAACUUCGAGUACACACCGUUCGGGGCAGGCCGAAGGAUCUGUCCGGGGAUGCUGUUCGCGCAGUCUAGCAUGGAGCUGGCCCUUGCUGCCCUCCUCUACCACUUUGAUUGGGAGCUUCCUGCCGGAGGGGAGUUGGAUAUGGAGGAGGAGAUGGGCAUCGCCGUCGGCCCGAAGAACGACCUGUAUCUGUAUGCCAAAGUCGUCGUGCUGCUUAAUUAACGCCUCCUUCGUAUGUCGCAUAUCGCAAUUAGUACACAAAUUUCUUGUACAUUUUGUUACCAGUGUGUUAUGGUGGUAAGUACUGUACUGUUUUCAUGAUUUAUUAAAAAAUCAAUAAUAAUUUUUUUUGAAACGGAGGCAAAAGAUUUGCCUCAUCGAUUAAUUAAGAAGAAGAGAGUUGACUAGUUAAUUAACGGAAAACCGGGCGAAAACCGAUACAUAUAGACCACAUACGGACUACUCGCUGAGAAAGAAACUGCAUAACCACACGGUUAACCCGACAAACAUUCAUAGGACGAAACAAUCAUGAUCCUUCACACUUCUACAUCGCAAAGAAACCCCCAACGAAACCAAGGUUAAAGACAACAGACACCACCAAAUCCAUGGAGACGAGCCAAUCGAAGAUGGUGGUCGAAGAGAUUGAGUAUCAUCCAUUAAACAGCCGCUGACGCCUUACCAGUGACGCCACUCUUCUUGCCUAUGCUCCUGAGAGCCUUCUUCACCUGCUUGAUUUUGCCCGUAGAAGCCUCCUCCGCUACGAGGCAAGCAAUCGCCUUGCCAGAUCCAGGACUAACUGCCUCCAAACGGGUGAGCAAGCCGCCGAGCUUUUUCACGAAGACCAACUCGUCAAUAUGUGCCAACAUACCAUCACGGUCAAAGAUGGGCGGCCGGAUGGACUUUACCGCCUCAGAAUUAGGUGCCAAAGCACCUACACCCACAGACGGCACCUGGCCAACAGCCACAGGUGAGAGAGCAAUAGCAACAUCCAACCCUCCAUGGUCCACAAAGGCGAGUGGCUGACUGUGCUCCAACGACGGUGGUGAGGUCGAGGUCGGCAUCGUCAAGGCCCCUCCAAGCGACUCCAUCUCCAUAGGAAGCACCAUCGAAAUAGGCGAAGUGGGCUCCCCACAAAGCUUUUGCAGCUCAGGCAUAAUCUGAAGCACCGGAGCCACGACCUCGAUAACAGCUUCACUUCCAGAAGUAAUCGGCACGAUAGGCAACGGCGAUGGGCAGGAUGCACUGCGAGGGGAGAGAUCUCCAUACAUGCCAGCUUCCUCAUCGGCCGAAUUAACAUGGAUCUUGGGCAUCAGGGACAUAACAGGCACCAACGAUGCUACCCCGAUGUUUGCUCCUGCCAACGAUGCUACCCCGACAGAUGUACCGCAACAGUUGGUCCUCNNNNNNNNNNNNNNNNNNNNNNNNNNNNNNNNNNNNNNNNNNNNNNNNNNNNNNNNNNNNNNNNNNNNNNNNNNNNNNNNNNNNNNNNNNNNNNNNNNNNNNNNNNNNNNNNNNNNNNNNNNNNNNNNNNNNNNNNNNNNNNNNNNNNNNNNNNNNNNNNNNNNNNNNNNNNNNNNNNNNNNNNNNNNNNNNNNNNNNNNNNNNNNNNNNNNNNNNNNNNNNNNNNNNNNNNNNNNNNNNNNNNNNNNNNNNNNNNNNNNNNNNNNNNNNNNNNNNNNNNNNNNNNNNNNNNNNNNNNNNNNNNNNNNNNNNNNNNNNNNNNNNNNNNNNNNNNNNNNNNNNNNNNNNNNNNNNNNNNNNNNNNNNNNNNNNNNNNNNNNNNNNNNNNNNNNNNNNNNNNNNNNNNNNNNNNNNNNNNNNNNNNNNNNNNNNNNNNNCAAGCAGUCUUGCAGCUCAGUGCGGAGCAGCACAACCUGCUCCAUGAGGACCAACUGUUGCGGUACAUCUGUCGGGGUAGCAUCGUUGGCAGGAGCAAACAUCGGGGUAGCAUCGUUGGCAGGAGCAGACAUUGGUGGAUUCAGUGGAGUAACAUGACUUAGCGGCGUAGUCUGGUCCCUGGGUUGUUUUGUGCGGCAAAAGCGAGCAAUGUGGCCAAAGCGAAGGCAGUUCCUGGACCGAACUGGGUCCCUACAAGAGCGGGCAUGAUGACCUCUGCAGAGGGACCGAAAGCAUCGGUCCCUCAGCCACGCCGGAGGAGUCGGUUGUGCAUUAGAAGCGGGACGCCGGAAGUUUGUUGAAGAUGGUGAAUGACGGCGCCCCUUGACGAGGUGCCAGUCCCCAAAUGAAUCUUCAUGAGGUGCCGGCGCACAACACAUGAGAGCAGCUUGAGACUUCUCCUUGCGGAAGCAUCCAAGCCAAUCUCCCCAAGCCGAAUGCACGGGAGAAGUGACUGGGAUGGUGCAAGACAUGCUUGCAGAGUCGCCUGAUGCCAGCGGCAACGACAACGAUGUUCGGGGAGCAGUGUACUCAGUCAGCAUAGCCGUCGACAGGGGUGCAGGAGUCGAUGCCGGAGGCGGCGACAACUGGUCGGCGGAGUUGCUGGCAGGGGGAGCGGUGGUGGUGGCCUGCAGGAUCGGAGAGGUCACUGUCGGCCCAGCAGGACCACGAUUCUCCCGAUCUUGAACGGGCAGAGUGCACUGGAGAAGAGCAUGAGCCGCCGGAGUUGGACAACCACAUUGCAGGGCCGACUGAAGGUGCAGAUCCUGAACGGACGCGCCGGCCAUGGUAGCAUGGACGACGGGCAGGCGCGCUGUAGCGCUCGUCUUCACGGUCCUUGGCAGACAACAACCAUGGGCCAGAUGACCACCUACGGUCGGAUCGGCCUUGCGGAAGGCGAGUGCAGCCGCGGCCAGCUCGACGGCGGCGGUAGCCAGGGACGACCGAGCGAGAGCCAGCGGUGUCGUUGGAGCGGGAGCCGGUGGUGUCGUCUUAGCAGCUAAGGUCUUGGACACGGGGAGCAUCACGGACACGGCAGGGCAAGCCAGCGUUGGCGGCGGCGCUGGAUCCCGAUCCAGAUCUAACUGAGUAGGGAACGGGGAUGGCGGCGGGAUGAUGCGCUGCACGGAGCCCGCGGGGAGCGCGGCAGGAGGUGGCGGCAGCAUGCCGGCCGGCCGGACGCAGGGCUGCGGUUUGGUGGCCGACGGGGCCGGAAUGGCCGGGGAAGGUAGAAGAGGGACCGCCUGCCCCCCUUCCCCUCACCGGGAUGAGCUGCCAGGCCGGCGGGCGAAGCGCCCAGGCCAGAUGGCGCCGGCAGCCCCAACCCCUGCGGCAGAUCAAGGGAAAUCCCACCCUCAGCGCGAACCGACGCCGUAGGAGAGGUCGACGUAUCCACCACAGGAGAGGAACGACCAGAGGCCUCCUGCCCCGGUCUCCCUCUCACCGCCGACCCGACGACAGUGGGCAGUGGAGUUACCUCCCCUACGGUCCUUGACCGACGAAACGCCCUCGAUGCGGCUAUAUCUCCCACGUGUCGAAGCACGACUUAGAGGCAUAACCACAUUGAAAGCAAUGUCGCAAGUGAGGUAAUCUUCACACAACCCAUGUAAUACAUAAGGGAAAGAGAUACAUAGCUGGCUUACAAUUGCCACUUCACACAAGUACAUGAAUAAAGCAUUACAUCAUCCAAAUACAAUCAAGGUUCGACUAUGGAACCAAAAUAAAAGAUGAACCCCAAAGGCGACAAGGUCCCCGAUCGACCCCAACUGGGCUCCACUACUGAUCAACUAGAACGAAACAACACAAAGGACAAGAUCUUCAUCGAGCUCCUCCUGAGCUUGGUUGCGUCAUCUGCACGGACUCAACGGCACCUGCAAAUUGGUUUUGGAAGUAUCUGUGAGCCACGGGGACUCAGCAAUCUCGCACCCUCGCGAUCAAGACUAUUUAAGCUUAUGGGUAAGGUAAAGGUAUGAGGUGGAGCUGCAGCAAGCGACUAGCAUAUAUGGUGGCUAACAUACACAAAUGAGAGCGAGAAGAGAAGGCAAAGCACGAUCGAUAAAAGUAUGAUCAAGAAGUAAUCCUAAAACAACCUACGUCAAGCAUAACUCCAACACCGUGUUCACUUCCCGGACUCCGCCGGAAAGAGACCAUCACGGUAACACACGCGGUUGAUAUAUUUUAAUUAAGGUCAACUUCAGGUUUUCUACAACCGGACAUUAACAAAUUCCCAUCUGCCCAUAACCGCGGGAAUGGCUUUCGAAAAUUCAAAACCCUGUAGGGGAGUCCCAACUUAGCCCAUGACAAGCUCUCACGGUCAACGAAGGAUAUUCCUUCUAGCGGGAAGACCCGAUCAGACUCGGAAUCCCGGUUACAAGACAUUUCGACAAGGUAAAACUAAACCAGCAACACCGCCCGAAUGUGUCGACAAAUCCUGAUAGGAGCUGCACAUAUCUCUUUCUUAGGGCACACUCAGAUUGUCCUAGGUACGGGUAGGCCAGCCCAGAGUUGCCCCUGGUGGCUACCGGCAGCUGACAGGUUGGACCAACACUCAGAGGAGCACUGGCCCAGGGGGGUUAAAAUAAUGAUGACCCUUGAGUCUGCAGAACCCAAGGGAAAGAAAAUGGGUAGGUGGCGAAUGGUGAAACCAAUGUUGGGCAUUGCUCGAGGAGUUUUACUCAAGGCGAACUGUCAAGGGGUUCCCAUAAUUACCCAACCGCGUAAGGAACGCAAAAUCCGGGAACAUAACACUGAUAUGACGGAAACUAGGGCGGCAAGAGUGGAACAAAACACCAAGCUUAAGGCCGAGCCUUCCACCCUUUACCAAAUAUAUAGAUGCAUUAAUUAGAUAAGAGGUAUUGUGAUAUCCCAACAAGUAAACAUGUUCCAACAAGGAACAACAUCUCCAUGUUCCAACAAGGAACAAACUUCAAACUUCACCUGCAACUAACAACGCUAUAAGAGGGGCUGAGCAAAGCGGUAACAUAGCCAAACAACGGUUUGCUAGGACAAGGUGGGUUAGAGGCUUGGCUCAACAAUAUGGGAGGCAUGAUAAGCAAGUGGUAGGUAUCGCAGCAUAGGCAUAGCAAAAGAGCGAGCAACUAGCAAGCAAAGAUAGAAGUGAUUUCGAGGGUAUGGUCAUCUUGCCUGAAAUCCUGCAAGGAAGAAGAACGAGUCCAUGAAGAAGACAAACGAACGAAGUCGAACGGAUCCUCACGAAUGCGACGUUAACGGAACCAACCCGAAGAAGCAACAUCGGAAAGAAGCACACAACAUAGUAAACAACCAACACAUCAACAUGGCACGAUGCGCAAACAAGUAUGAUACAUGUCUGGUUUAAUGAAGCAUGGCAUGGCAAAGUGCACAAACAAUCCUACAAAUUAAGUGGAGCUCAAUAUGCAACGAGUUGCAUAUCGACGGAACACCACAUGCCUUGUUUAGUUCUCUCUCGUUUAUGUACUCAACAAAAUUAAAUGUUGUUAGCAUGGCAAGAGGGUGAAGCACAAUAAAACUAUCUAAUCUAGGCAAGGUUAAAUGAGGCCGGAACAACAAAACAACAAUUCCGGAAACUCCUCAUGUGCACAUUUUAGGUUUGGUACUGUUCUGCCCUAAACAUAAUUUUUGAGUCAUUAGGCAUGCAAAACAAGUACACCAUGUUAAACUAGGCAUUUUUCUACCCCAUUUACAUAUAAAGAUUAUUAAAUUCCGAGUUACAGUUAUUUAGUUAUGAAUUAAAGCAUUUUAGCAUGACAUAGGAGCAAAUUUAAACAAAUAUCAUUUUAAGCAUGUCAAACAUGGAUAAAAGUGGCAUAAUAUGAAACUACACAAAAUUCUAGGCAUUUUAUAUAUAUAUAAGUUGUUUUAAUCCGAUGCACGGUUGUGGAGAUAUUAAAUGCAUGAAGUUUAGGGGCUUUUCUGUAAAACUAUAAUCUCUGGAAAAAUGAUUAAAUUCGUCCAGGAAAAAAACACGUCCACUGGCUGAAACUACCUAGCCCAACAAACACAUGAUAGGGGCUGGGCGCUGCUCACAUGGGCCAAGGCCCGUUCGGUGGAAAAGAGGCCUAACAAGGGGCUCCUGGGCCUUGGAUGGAUCUGGCCCACGACGGGGCCUAAGAGCGGAGCGAGUAGUUCCUGCUUGUCGUCCUCGUGCCUCCGCACGAGCAGGGAGGAGGACGCAACAGUGGCGGCGGACGACGGCAGCUCGCCAACGGGGAGGCGCGGAGGAGGACCUGGAACGGGCGAAGAAGGCCGGGAUCCGCCAGAUCUGGUGAUGUGGGGGUCGCUGGAGCUUCCAGGGCGGCGACGGGACAAUCUUGCGGGAGAGAGAGAGAGAGAGGAAGCUCAUGAGGGUGAGGGAGCAGAGAGGAAUCGAGGGCGGAACGGCGGCACUGAUGACCUGGGGCGGCAGCAGAUGGCAGGGAAGAAGGACGAGGAGAGCGCGGGGUCGCCUGAUCCGAGGUGGUCACCGGCAGCGACUCCGGCGAGCCGGCGGGAAGGACCAGAUGGCGUGGUCGGGGUCGAGGGGCUCCUCCCCUCGAUCCAAUCAAGAGCGAGGGAGCAGAGAGUGCGGGCCAGCAACCGUACAGGCCUGGGCGGUGCUGGUUGGCUCGGUGGGUGGAUCGGGAAGGCAGGGGGCUUCGGCUUUGCAGUGAUUGGGCGGGCAUGGAAAUGGAGACGGUGGUUGGAUUGGGUGGAGAUGGAUCCCGAGGUGGGAGAUGCUGGCGGCGGGGAUUGGACAGGGAGGAUCCCUAGAAAAUAGGGUUUUGGUCUAGGGUUAGACUAGCUAUAUAUAGUAGCUGGGUUAGACUAAGGGGUAUAUCGUCCCUCCGAUCGAAAUCGAACGAUCGCGAAUAAAAUAGUUAGGGAGCCCAAAUAAGAAAACGGAGACAUUUUGUAGAUGUUUGGGGAUGAUCCGGACACAACGGUGGCGACAGUCUGAGUCGGGUUCGGGACAGCUUUCGGACGCGCGCGCGAGGAUUGGCCGCGGGCAAACGAGAGAGGUUAGGUAGGGUCUGACGGUGAGUAGUGGACUGUGCAGAAGGUCUCAGGCUGAAAGAAGAGAAGAGAGGCCCUGCGACUGUUCCGGAGACCGAAAACGUCCGACGUUAGACCGGCUACUAUUGCCGCUAUAGUUUAACGGUUGGGCUAUCAAACGAGCUCCGAACGUGAUGAAAUUUGACAGGCAGUCUACCUACACUAAAAUAAGACCACACGCCAACUCUCAUCCCAUUUCGAGAACAUUUUCCGGCCACUUAUAAAAUACUAUUUCAGACAUGCCGCAGGCGUGUGCAAGUGUGUCUGGGCUCAGAACGGACAACGGAUGGCACUGGGGGAACCCGGACGGAUGCAGGUUUUGAAAACAUGAAGAUGCAAUGCACAUGAUGACAUGGCAAGAUGCAACACACAAGCAAAUGACAUGGCAACAACAGCGAAUAACUGGAAGACACCUGGCACAUCGGUCUUGGGGCGUCACAACACUCCACCACUACGAGAGGAUCUCGUCCCGAGAUCUAGAAUGGCACCGGAGGGACAACGGAAAAGGAAGAUAAGCGGUAAAAACUAAGUUGCUUCUUUGACAAACGAGUGAAACCACGAACCUUUAGAGGUUGAACAAAUUGGAAGAAAGAAUGCAACGAAGAAGAACAAAGUUGAAAGCACUCAGUAAAGAAAGAGGAAUAAGAAAGAACCGAUUCGGGUAGCAUUCUGGUUGAAAAGAGAUGAAAGACUUGAUAAAAUGAAAAAGCUUGAGCAAACGGACACAACACUCCGGUUAAAUGGAUAAACCAAGAAAAGAACACGAUCCUGACAAAACGAAAAGAUGGGUUGACGAGAGCAACAUCACAAAGCCUCCGGAACAAAAUGAAGAAUGGAAUGGAAUGAACGAAGUAGAAACCAAGAUCUUGGCAGCGCACGCUUACAACCAAUGCUAGAACGGAGUUGUUAGAUUAUCAACAACGAAAAGAUAAGCUUGAUAUGGUCUUAUGGAAUACAUCUCAAAUUAUGAGUUGACAAUCCUGCCACUCACGGGAAAAGAAUUGGAUUGGUAUGAACAAGGAGACGAGAAAGUAUUUCACCAGGAGGAUAAAGAAGAACUUGGGUCCUUUAUAAGCACCAUAGAUAGCAACAAACCUUAGGGAAGGCUUUAGGUGAAAUAUAACCCAAGAUAACUCCAAAGAAGAGAUUGAUGGAUUUAAAAUGCCUUAUUCUUAAUAACAUGUGAAUCAUGACACAUGAACUCAAAUUAUCAAGAAUGGCAUAAUACCACCUCCAAAGAUACAGUAGAAAGAAAUUGCACUCCGGAUUGCAAGAUGAAGAAUGCUUGAGCUCCCUAGAAAUGAAUCUCGAUGAAAACUUUGAGAAGGAAUUAAUUCCUUGAUGAAACACCAUGUCGAGCCUCCAUGAAGAACUCCGAUAACAAAAGAAAGAGAAAUUGAAAACACAAGGUGAAUCCUUGCAAUGAUUUAGAUGGAUCUCCGUGAUAAUUAGAGCUUGGAACUCUAGGAAAGAAAAGAUGGAAACAAGUGAAACCGAGAAUUUGGUGAACCUCUGGAAUAAGGAAUUAAUCUCUUGGAUGAAACAAGAAUAAGAAUUACAUUAUGCUUAUCCUUCACCAAUUUAAAUUGAUGACAAGAAACGGAUCGCAUAUGGCUUAUUCUCGUAGAAAGGAUUAAGAUAGAUAUAGCGCAAACCUGAGAAGGUCUUCAAUGAUCCACCGGUAGAAUUUGAAAAGCACGAAUGCAUAGAUAUGAUACACGAAGGAAGAAAACUCUCGAACAAACCACCGUAAGAAUUGAAAAGAACAAAGUAAAGGGAUGAAUCACCUGGCAAGAAUUGUGAAAUGAAGGAAGAUACUUGAGACAAUCUAGAUACAUGAGAACGAAGAGAUCAUGCACUGAUUAGAGGAUAUUUGAUCGAUGCACCGAUAAAAUUAGGAGGGUGAGAGCUGAAAUCUAGAAUUAAUAAAUCUUAGAUGAUGGGCUCCGGAUAAACAAACUGAGAAGACUCUUGAAUUGCUCCGGAAGGGUGUAAAGAAUUCUCACAACCGAAAACAAUUAAGAGAGAAUGGCAUAAAGCUAGCACCGUGAAUCUUGGAGAGAAUGGAGCAAGAUAUGGAGGAAAAAUUCUUCUUCGGUCUUCAAAAUCUGAGAAUGACGACGAGAGACCACAAAAUUGUUGAGAUACUCUGGAAUGGAAAAUGGAAAGGUUGAGUCAAUGAUGAAAAGAAUUGGAAAGAUCUUGGAGAAAGGCAUUUGACUGAUGAUAACUCAUUCUUACGUCAAACUUUGAAAUGAAUUUGAGAUUAACUCUGGGAGAAUAAGAAGAGUCAGGUAAGAUCCUGGGAAAAGACCUGUGGGUUGGGGCCCACUCAAAAGAAACACCGUUGAAAUGAUUAAAGGAGAGGUUGCAUUGGUUGAAUUAAAUGGCUUGAAUGAGAUAACAUCCUCAAAAUAACUUGAACGGAUUAAGAGUGGAAACACGAAUCUUCUGAGAUAUCUUUAGCACUUCGGAACAAAAGAAUAGCAAGCGGGGAAGAUUAAGAGGUGCACCGACAUAAAUAAGCAUUGGGCAAAAAGAAAAGGAGUAUGAUCAAUACCAAAUCUUGAAUUAAAUCCACCGGAGAAGAAAAUGAGUGAAGAGUGACGAACUUGAAGCUUCGUUAGAAUCUUCAUGAGAAUCACUGGAUACGAACAUUGAAAGAAAAGAAUGAAGAGACUUCACAAGAAUAAAAGGAUACUUGAUUAAGAAAUCCGAGUCCUUGAGGAAAAAGGGUGGGUGGGCGUGAAAACAAAGGCAACUUGGAGACGGAUGAAACAAACACCGUUGAGAAGAACUGAUACUAGAUCUUGCGAAUGUUGAAAUGAUCGGAUCCACUUGAAGAGAAAACACGCCGGUUGAAAAAGGAUUGCCAUGGCAAUCUCGAUUAUCAUGAAGGAUUAGUGUUCACAUCGGAGUAUGAUACCACCGCUUAGGGAAGGUAUGGAAUCAACAUUUGACUUCGAAGCAACUCGAAUACCACAACUCAAAACAAAACAAAGGAUUGGCUUGCAAAAUAAGCCGGAACAAACAUAUGAUAGAGAUUUCGUCCGAAGUUUUCGUGGUGGGGCCUACACGGGCUAGAUCGUACAACACCAUCAUGUACAAGGCAGUGCACAUGACAUACGAAGCAUCCCCGAGUCGGCAUAGCCAAGGACUCUUUAAGACACAAUGAGACCACUGUAAAACCAACCGUGAAUAGGCGGACCACUAGACGUCGAACCCCAAUUUCAUAUCAUACAUCUGUCGGAAAGAUAUCCUAAGAGCUACUUGAAUUCCCACUUAUAAACUCCCGAAACUUUCCGGUUAUGCAAUCAGGUGUUGGGGAUACAGGGGAAGCAUAAUAUCUCACCCAAAACUAGCAAAUCCUACAUCCAGCUGUAUCCAUCCUUCAACACAUAACCAAGAAACCUUCGGAAAUCAUCUACCUCAACCUUCAAAAAGCAUCCGUUAUACGAGUUAUGGCAAUACUCCCGAACUCCCGCCCCAGUACUGGGUGGCGUCGAGGUUAUCUCACCAACAACUGCAUAAAAGAGAUUUUCGAUGUCGGCGAACUAAACUCAGGUAUUCCAGAACUGCAACGAUAAAAUUAUGACGAAAACACCUCGGAGCUCAACUCCCCGCGACACUGCCACAAAACCCCUGACAGGAGGCACCAAGACAAUGUUCUCGUCACAAAACCAUCAGAACGAUUCCAAGAUACCCGCGUGAUCCUAAAUUUUUUUAGUGAAAUUUGAGAAGAGAAGAGUCAAAACUCUAUGUCAGGAUGCCUUACCAGAGCGAUGAGGAGACUGGGGAGUAAAAAGAAUUCCUAAACUCUCCGAUAUAUAAAUCCUAAAUGACUCAAAACAUUUUUCUAGACACAACUCGGCCGCUAAAAACGAUCAAGCAAUGGGGCUCCUAUGGUCGGGGAAGGCUCUGAUUACCAACUUGAAACACCCUCGAUGCGGCUAUAUCUCCCACGUGUCGAAGCACGACUUAGAGGCAUAACCGCAUUGAAAGCAAUGUCGCAAGUGAGGUAAUCUUCACACAACCCAUGUAAUACAUAAGGGAAAGAGAUACAUAGCUGGCUUACAAUCGCCACUUCACACAAGUACAUGAAUAAAGCAUUACAUCAUCCAAAUACAAUCAAGGUCCGACUACGGAACCAAAAUAAAAGAAGAACCCCAAAGGCGACAAGGUCCCCGAUCGACCCCAACUGGGCUCCACUACUGAUCAACUAGAACGAAACAAAACAAAGGACAAGAUCUUAAUCGAGCUCCUCCCGAGCUUGGUUGCGUCAUCUGCACGGACUCAACGGCACCUGCAAACUGGUUUUGGAAGUAUCUGUGAGCCACGGGGACUCAGCAAUCUCGCACCCUCGCGAUCAAGACUAUUUAAGCUUAUGGGUAAGGUAAAGGUAUGAGGUGGAGCUGCAGCAAGCGACUAGCAUAUAUGGUGGCUAACAUACACAAAUGAGAGCGAGAAGAGAAUGCAAAGCAUGGUCGAUAAAAGUAUGAUCAAGAAGUGAUCCUAAAACAACCUACGUCAAGCAUAACUCCAACACUGUGUUCACUUCCCAGACUCCGCCGGAAAGAGACCAUCACGGUAACACACGCGGUUGAUAUAUUUUAAUUAAGGUCAACUUCAGGUUUUCUACAACCGGACAUUAACAAAUUCCCAUCUGCCCAUAACCACGGGCAUGGCUUUCGAAAAUUCAAAACCCUGUAGGGGAGUCCCAACUUAGCCCAUGACAAGCUCUCACGGUCAACGAAGGAUAUUCCCUCUAGCGGGAAGACCCGAUCAGACUCGGAAUCCCGGUUACAAGACAUUUCGACAAGGUAAAACUAAACCAGCAACACCGCUCGAAUGUGUCGACAAAUCCUGAUAGGAGCUGCACAUAUCUCUUUCUCAGGGCACACUCAGAUUGUCCUAGGUACGGGUAGGCCAGCCCAGAGUUGCCCCUGAUGGCCACCGGCAGCUGACAGGUUGGACCAACACUCAGAGGAGCACUGGCCCAGGGGGGUUAAAAUAAUGAUGACCCUUGAGUCUACAGAACCCAAGGGAAUGAAAAUGGGUAGGUGGCGAAUGGUAAAACCAAUGUUGGGCAUUGCUCAAGGAGUUUUACUCAAGGCGAACUUUCAAGGGGUUCCCAUAAUUACCCAACCGCGUAAGGAACGCAAAAUCCGGGAACAUAACACCGAUAUGACGGAAACUAGGGCGGCAAGAGUGGAACAAAACACCAAGCUUAAGGCCGAGCCUUCCACCCUUUACCAAAUAUAUAGAUGCAUUAAUUAGAUAAGAGGUAUUGUGAUAUCCCAAUAGGUAAACAUGUUCCAACAAGGAACAACAUCUCCAUGUUCCAACAAGGAACAAACUUCAAACUUCACCUGCAACUAACAACGCUAUAAGAGGGGCUGAGCAAAGCGGUAACAUAGCCAAACAACGGUUUGCUAGGACAAGGUGGGUUAGAGGCUUGGCUCAACAAUAUGGGAGGCAUGAUAAGCAAGUGGUAGGUAUCGCAGCAUAGGCAUAGCAAAAGAGCGAGCAACUAGCAAGCAAAGAUAGAAGUGAUUUCGAGGGUAUGGUCAUCUUGCCUGAAAUCCCGCAAGGAAGAAGAACGAGUCCAUGAAGAAGACAAACGAACGAAGUCGAACGGAUCCUCACGAAUGCGACGUUAACGGAACCAACCCGAAGAAGCAACAUCGGAAAGAAGCACACAACAUAGUAAACAACCAACACAUCAACAUGGCACGAUGCGCAAACAAGUAUGAUGCAUGUCUGGUUUAAUGAAGCAUGGCAUGGCAAAGUGCACAAACAAUCCUACAAAUUAAGUGGAGCUCAAUAUGCAACGAGUUGCAUAUCGACGGAACACCACAUGCCUUGUUUAGUUCUCUCUCGUUUAUGUACUCAACAAAAUUAAAUGUUGUUAGCAUGGCAAGAGGGUGAAGCACAAUAAAACUAUCUAAUCUAGGCAAGGUUAAAUGAGGCCGGAACUACAAAACAACAAUUCCGGAAACUCCUCAUGUGCACAUUUUAGGUUUGGUACUGUUCUGCCCUAAACAUAAUUUUUGAGUUGUUAGGCAUGAAAAACAAGUACACCAUCUUAAACUAGGCAUUUUCUACCCCAUUUACAUAUAAAGAUUAUUAAAUUCCGAGUUACGGUUAUUUAGUUAUGAAUUAAAACAUUUUAGCAUGACAUAGUAUAUAUAUAUAUAUAUAUAUAUAUAUAUAUAUAUAUAUAUAAGUUGUUUUAAUCCGAUGCACGGUUGUGGAGAUAUUAAAUGCAUGAAGUUUAGGGGCUUUUCUGUAAAACUAUAAUCUCUGGAAAAAAGAUUAAAUUCGUCCAGGAAAAAACACACGUCCACUGGCUGAAACUACCUAGCCCAACAAACACAGGAUAGGGGCUGGGCGCUGCUCACAUGGGCCAAGGCCCGUUCGGUGGAAAAGAGGCCUGGCAAGGGGCUCCUGGGCCUUGGAUGGAUCUGGCCCACGACGGGGCCUACGAGCGGAGCGAGCAGUUCCUUCUCGUCGUCCUCGUGCCUCCGCACGAGCAGGGAGGAGGACGCAACAGUGGCGGCGGACGACGGCGGCUCGCCAACGGGGAGGCACGGAGGAGGACUUGGAACGGGCGAAGAAGGCCGGGAUCCGCCAGAUCUGGUGAUGUGGGGGUCGCUGGAGCUUCCAGGGCGGCGACGGGACAAUCUUGCGGGAGAGAGAGAGAGAGGAAGCUCAUGAGGGUGAGGGAGCAGAGAGGAAUCGAGGGCGGAACGGCGGCGCUGAUGACCUGGGGCGGCAGCAGAUGGCAGGGAGGAAGGACGAGGAGAGCGCAGGGUCGCCUGAUCCGAGGUGGUCGCCGGCAGCGACUCCGGCGAGCCGGCGGGAAGGACCGCAUGGCGUGGUCGGGGUCGAGGGGCUCCUCCCCUCGAUCCAAUUGAGAGCGAGGGAGCAGAGAGUGCGGGCCAGCGACCGUACAGGCCUGGGCGGUGCUGGUUGGCUCGGUGGGUGGAUCGGGAAGGCAGGGGGCUUCGGCUUUGCAGUGAUUGGGCGGGCACGGAAAUGGAGACGUGGUUGGAUUGGGUGGAGAUGGAUCCCGAGGUGGGAUAUGCUGGUGGCGGGGAUUGGACAGGGAGGAUCCCUAGAAAAUAGGGUUUUGGUCUAGGGAUAUACUAGCUAUAUAUAGUAGGUGGGUUAGACUGAGGGGUAUAUCGUCCCUCCGACCGCAAUCGAACGAUCACGAAUAAAAUAGUUAGGGAGCCCAAAUAAGAAAACGGAGACGUUUUGUAGAUGUUUGGGGAUGAUCCGGACACAACGGUGGCGACAGUCCGAGUCGGGUCCGGGAUAGCUUUCAGACGCGCGCGCGAGGAUUGGCCGCGGGCGGACGAGAGAGGUUAGGUAGGGUCUGACGGUGAGUAGUGGACUGUGCAGAAGGUCUCAGGCUGAGGGAAGAGAAGAGAGGCCCUGCGACUGUUUCCGGAGACCGAAAACAUCCGACGUUAGACCGGCUACUAUUGCCGCUAUAGUUUAAUGGUUGGGCUAUCAAACGAGCUCCGAAUGCGAUGAAAUUUGACAGGCGGUCUACCUACACUAAAAUAAGACCACACGCCAACUCUCAUCCCAUUCCGAGAACAUUUUCCGGCCACUUAUAAAAUACUAUUUUGGACAUGCCGCGGGCGUGUGGAAGUGUGUCUGGGCUCAGAACGGAUAACGGAUGGCAUUGGGGGAACCCAGACAGAUGCAGGUUUUGAAAACAUGAAGAUGCAAUGCACAUGAUGACAUGGCAAGAUGCAACACGUAAGCAAAUGACAUGGCAACAACAGCGAAUAACUGGAAGACACCUGGCACAUCGGUCUCGGGGCGUCACAACCGAGGUGAAGCAACAGGAGAAGAAGGGGAAGAGGGGGCCGCCUGCCAAUAGUCCCCCUCUCACGGCAGAGCCGUCAAACCCUGCAAAGUCUAAGGGUGGUAGCGUGCCCUCUAGCACAUCCUCAGACUCCACAUGGUCGCUCCAUAGUCUCGGAGGAGCGGAUGCAGGCUCAAACGAUCCGAAUCUCAGAGUGUUCAUAGGCGCUAAAAAUGAAGGGGCCGCCCCAGACCCAGGCGCCUACGAGGUGGAUCUCGGCCCGUUGGCCAACUGAUGCUCAUCCUCAGCCCCUCGCGAUUCCGUGUUACCCGAACCAUCAUCCUUAUUCUGCAUAUCCACAUCCAUCCCUGCCAUAGCCUCCGCAAAAGGAUCCGAGUCCUCAAACUCAAUCUCAAGGUUGAAGACCUCGCCCUUGUAAGUCCACUUGACCACGAGAGGUUACAAACUCAAUAUCAAGGAUACUCACCGGUAAGCGUGCCACUCCAUUAGCUCUGGUGAAAGCCAUAUCAACCUUCUCGGUUUUCCCGACCAGCAUUCCCAAGCUAGCAGCAACUCGGGCAUCAUGAAGUGGCUUGGAAGGCGCCCCAGAGAAACGCAGCCAAACAUGAGUGAGGGGCUUGCCCUGCGGCUCAACUCGUUUCCACUCAUGGAACUCGAGGAUGCACUCAGUACCAGGGACUCUGCAUAACCCAAAACUGAGCAUGCGCUCCAAGUCCUCCGAUGUCGGAAGGUCAACCUUGUAUGUAUUCUCCUCGAGGUGACUAAGUUCCCACACAAAGUCACCUGGUAUUAACUCAGAAAGCCUGUGAAUAAUCUGUGCCUCAGACACCACACACUUAGUUACCUUUACAAUCCCUGUCGUUGAACUCUGUGGUUCGUCAGGUAUCUCCCUCGCACUGGGAGACUCAAAAAACAUCAGUUCAGAACAAUAGACUCCAUAAAUGGUGAUACUCGGCAUCUGAUCUCGCAGAAUAGGGCAUUCCCCCGAGUCAUGCACCGGCUUAAGACAAGUAUCACAAAGCUCAGUCUCACACUCAACAAUAAAGUGUCCUCUCUCACCACAACGGUAGCACAACAUCUUUUCCUUUUUACGAGCCCACUUGGAGGCUCUCUCCUCCUCCGCCUUGUGAACAGCCCCGACAGCCUCCAUCUCUACGGAUUCUGUCAGUGGCACGUCCACUGACGCGAGAGCAGUUACCACCUCCAUAGCCUGCCCUGAUAGCUCCAUCUCCUGACCGGUAGCUUCGGCCACCGGAUCCACCGCGACCGGAGGUGGGGGCUGGCGGUAACGGUUCCUGCCACCGCGACCACCGCAACCCCCACGGUGCCCUCGGUAGCCACCUCGCUGUCUGUAGUCGGGGCCAGAUGCCCCCUUGACAAAACCUCCUGGCGGACCGUAGAUAGGCCGUUCGUCUGACCCAUCUCCCUGCCAUGCGUAGCCACGCCCGCCACCCGUAGACGAUGAGCCACGAUGUUGUCCAACCCCGUAAGCAUUAAAACCAUCAUCACCCCACUUCCCUCGGGGUGGGCCAUUACCACCAGGAUUAGACGGCACCUGAGCCGCGGUCACACCUCCCUCUCCCGCAACCGGAGCCAGUGCUAUGGAGAAUCUCCCCGCCACAAUCAACACCUAGAAGCACACCUGUGGUACCUCUAUUUUUUUCAUACCAGCAAGAGCAUACAGUUCUAUGGAGUCAAGUCAUCUUGACACGUCUCAUUCCUAAAUGUACAUGCACAUCAUGCGGUCGCUCCAGCAUGCAACCCAUAUCACUUCCUAUUUUACCACACCUCAAACUGAACCCUUAACGCCUGAUGCUUGAGCAAAGGCAGGUGGUUGCUUAAGUGCUAAGAGCUGAGUUUAAACAUUUGAGAUACAAACAACUGCAACAAAAAAAAAAUGGAAGAACGUCCCAGACCUCUAGCUUCUGCCAUCCCAACCAUCUAUGCCUCCCCUU